rnacentral:rRNA from 1 species
ACCGACACAGGUAGAUGAGGAGAGAAUCCUAAGGCCAACGGGAGAAGGGUUGUUAAGGAACUCGGCAAGUUAACCCCGUAACUUCGGAAUAAGGGGAGCCUCGCAAGAGGCCGCAGUGAAUAGGCCCAAGCAACUGUUUACCAAAAACACAGGUCUAUGCUAAAUCGAAAGAUGACGUAUAUGGGCUGACGCCUGCCCGGUGCUGGAAGGUUAAGAGGAGGGCUUAGGGGAAACCCGAAGGCCCGAAUUGAAGCCCCAGUAAACGGCGGCCGUA